UACAUGGGGUGCAAACGUUGCUCGGAAUCAUUGGGCGUAAAGCGCGCGUAGGCGGUUACUUAAGUUGGAUGUGAAAGCCCUCGGCUUAACUGAGGAAGUGCACCCGAAACUGAGUAGCUUGAGUACUAAAGAGGGUCGCGGAAUUCCCGGUGUAGAGGUGAAAUUCGUAGAUAUCGGGAGGAACACCGGUGGCGAAGGCGGCGACCUGGGUAGAGACUGACGCUGAGGCGCGAAAGCGUGGGGAGCAAACAGG
rnacentral:rRNA from 1 species